rnacentral:tRNA from 1 species
GGUGGUAUAGCUCAGUGGUAGAGCACAUGCUUAGCAUGGGUGAAACUCUGGGUUCAAUCCCCAGCACAAACG